GGCGUUGAUUUAAAGUUUAACACACUUCUAAUGAAUCGAUGAAGCAAGCUUUCCUACCAACAUAAAAAGUAUUUAAACGUAAUGAGUGGAUAGUAUUAACGUGCCAAGCAUCAAAAUUUACUCUAAAACAUAAUUUUUCAUCAAAAUAGCCGAACUUAUAACAACCGACCAGUGAAGAUGAACAGUAAAAUCAAUGUGUAAAACUGAACGACGAAGCAUAUGAGCAUUACGUAGUACAAGAAUAUUCAUCAGUGACGGAACUGAUAUACAGAUGAGAAGUCCUUAUCAGCAAAUCCACUAUCCACCAUGGUGCAGUAUAAUUCAUAAGCUAAAGACCCCAGAGGAGUUGGGGUAGUUGUUCUAGCAGCAGCUUCCUGUGCAAGACCCAGGUCUUUUGCCAUUAGUUUUGUACCAAAUCCUCCCUGUUAACCAAAGAGAAUUUUCAGAACAGUAACAUACUUAGUAUAAAUGUGAACACAGUCAAAAUGAUACAAGUACAAAUGUAACACUAUGCCAUCAGCUGACAAAUGCUAUUAUACUGAGAGUUACAUUUGAUAUCUGAAAUGUGACCACAUACAGAAAGAAGACCAGAUUAAGUGUCUACUGCUGUAUUACCUUUACACUUUCAGCAUCUCUAUGCUUUAGAAAGCACUUUCUUUGGAUAAUUUGAUAUUCAAAUUUAACAUUUCACUCUACUGUCUUAAAAGUAAGUAUUGUUGCUAAGUAAUCAAAUAUGUAAAAUAAAUUGCACAUUCUAAUAUU